rnacentral:misc_RNA from 1 species
UAACCGUAGGGGAACCUGCGGUUGGAUCACCUCCUUACCUCAGAUACGCAUUGCGCAGUGUCCACACAGAUUGUCUGAUGAAUGUAAACGAGCAAGAGCACCUGUUGAUGAGGGUGAUGAUUGUGUUGUAAGGCCUCGGGAUUGAGUUUUUACUGCAUCAGUCGUUCGAAUGUGUCACCACAUUCUCACCUUUACACAAAAAUACUGAAUCCAUGAUUCAGUAGAAAUUUUUGUGUCCCCAUCGUCUAGAGGCCUAGGACACUGCCCUUUCACGGCUGUAACAGGGGUUCGAAUCCCUUGGGGACGCCACUCCGAUAAUGUGUGAAAGACAUUAUCAACCGGUUCUUUAUGAACUCAAAAGUAUCUUAAAGAUGACUUUAACAAGUCGUGUUUAAGAUAUUGCUCUUUAACAAUCUGGAACAAGCUGAAAAUUGAAACAAUACAGCUGAAACUUAUCUCUCCGUAGAAGUACUGAGAUAAGGAUUAACCUGUAUUAGAGUCUCUCAAAUAAUCGCAAUGCCAAUGUGUUUAUCAUUGUUGCAGUGUGAGCGAGAAGAUACUCAGCAAGGCGUACAGCGCACAGCAACCGGAGUGAACGCUACGUUCAUGAGGAUUGCGCGCACUGCACAACGACGCAGAGUGUGUUCGNAGCCACACCAAUAAAGAAGAAACAUCUUUGGGUUGUGA